rnacentral:rRNA from 1 species
AGUGAACGCUGGCGGUAGGCCUAACACAUGCAAGUCGAACGGCAGCACAGUAAGAGCUUGCUCUUACGGGUGGCGAGUGGCGGACGGGUGAGGAAUACAUCGGAAUCUACUUUUUCGUGGGGGAUAACGUAGGGAAACUUACGCUAAUACCGCAUACGACCUACGGGUGAAAGCAGGGGAUCUUCGGACCUUGCGCGAUUGAAUGAGCCGAUGUCGGAUUAGCUAGUUGGCGGGGUAAAGGCCCACCAGGGCGACGAUCCGUAGCUGGUCUGAGAGGAUGAUCAGCCACACUGGAACUGAGACACGGUCCAGACUCCUACGAGAGGCAGCAGUGGGGAAUAUUGGACAAUGGGCGCAAGCCUGAUCCAGCCAUACCGCGUGGGUGAAGAAGGCCUUCGGGUUGUAAAGCCCUUUUGUUGGGAAAGAAAAGCAGCAGGUUAAUACCCCGCUGUUCUGACGGUACCCAAAGAAUAAGCACCGGCUAACUUCGU